CUGUAGCUGUAGAUUGUGCUUGAUUUUGUAUUGUUUCUGUUUUCUACGGGAUAUGGAUUCGACGCAGCAAGCCGUUUUGGAGCAGAAGGCGGAGGGGAAUCAGCCGCCGCCGUACGUAUCCAUGGUGGAUCCUUUUCUCGUCGAGGCGCUUCAGAAUCCUCGCCAUCGUCUGACUAGUUAGUGCUUUUUCAACUUCUCUUUUCCUUUUUUUUGUGUUUUUUGUGGUGUCUGAUUUUGUUUUACUUUGUGUUUUUAGUUUUUGUAAUUUUGUUGAUUACUUAGUUAGUUAGUUAGUUUCAAUUCUGUUUUAUCGACGGAGAGUAAUUUUGAGCUCCUGCUCUUUCUCGUGUUCGUUGAUGAGAUGAGUGGUUAGAAUUCUAGUUUUGACCAUUGAUGUGUUGCGACGUUGAAUUGAUUAAUCUGUCUUUACUUUUGUCGUAAGUUGCCGCGUUGCUGAAAUUUGUAGAUCUGAAUUGUGUGAUAAUCUGCGUUGGCCUUAAACAUGCUGGAUGGUUGGCUAUAUCAUCCAUGAGUGUUUGAUAAUCUAGAAUUUCGUAGUAGUGUGCUGCACUGAGAUAUUGUACAUAUAAUAUUCGUCAAUUUUAAUUGAAGAUAAAAUACAAGAAAGCUAUUCAUAGCAGGGAGUCCAGAGGCUACUAAUUAGCAUUUUUUUUAAUUGAUCUUGUAUGUUAGAUUUGUCGAGGUUUUCAUUUUUCGGCUUUCCUUAACUGAUUGAGCAGUCAUAAUUGCUGCUAUUGUUAAAAGUUUGUGUCGAAAUCACAAUGCUUAUGAACAUUCCUAAAUGCGUAUUUGGAUUUUUGGAAGUAUGCAUAUGAAACAAGGGAGUACUCAGUGCAAAAUUUAUCCUAGAUGGUGGUCCUGCUUCUUCAAUAUGAUUGCAAUAGCUAAGUCACAGGAAGCUUUGUAAAAGGUGGUCCAUACUCCAUGUAGUAUGAUAUUUUGUGGUUGAUAUAGAUGGUAGAGGUAUUGGAGCUAAACUUGGGUUGAUAGGAAAUGAGUACAGUUUGCAAUUCUCUUCCCUAGUUGGUAUUGUUGCGAUAGACUUGUAACCAUGUUCCAUUGGAGAGAGUUGCAAAAUCAUAGACAAGCAAAUCACAAACUGCAGUAUUAUCUUUUCUUUUCGGCUUUAGAGUGUGUUUGUCCAUUUUUGCUUAUAAGUUUCUAUUUCUUAUCUUAAUUCUUAGGCAGCUCAUAAGUUCCUACAUCAUACAAGAUGUUUUUAGAGCUUAUUAGAUGUAACAUCUUAUUAAAAACCCAUUUUUGGAGUAUUUGGGUUAUAUUGAAUAUAAGAUUAUUAAUAGUUACAAUUUACAUAGUUGUAGUUACAAUAUCUUAAAAAUAUAAUGGUUUUCAGUAAUAUAUUUUUUUACUUUUCAAAGAAGUGGGAUUGGCUUGCUUCCUUAAAGAAAAUCUCAUAAGCUCCUAAUAUUUAAUUUUGGAGCAAUUAUGAUUUUUCAUCGAAGUGAUUGCUAAAUUCCAUAAAAAGUUAUAAGCUCUGGAGAAUCUUAGAAUUGUUGUAAAGAGCUUAUAUGCUCAGACAAACACCCAUCAAAGCACUUUUUGGCUGCUCUAGCUGUAUAAUGAAAAUAUGGAAAAAAAAAUUGCUUUAUAUUUUUGCAGUUUAUUUUGUAUUUGUCCCUUCCCCCUGUAUGUUUGAAUAAUAGGUAAUGACAUACAUUUUAUUUGGAUAUUUUCAGUUCUGCGGAUGGAACUCGAUGUACAGAAGUUCUUGCAGAAUAAUGAUCUACUGCAGUUCGAGUUUCAGCACUUCCCAACUUCAUACCUUCGUCUUGCCGCCCACCGUGUUGCUCAACACUAUGGUUUGCAAACCAUGGUUCAGGACAAUGUUGCGGAUGGUCAAGGAGUCAGGAUUUUGGUUAUGAAGAAGCCAGAGUCUAAGUUUCCUGCGGUCUGCUUGUCAGAUGUUCCGGCUAAAGAGUCAGAAAAUAAUAAACUUGAUCAGAUGAAGAUUGUCAUUAGACCCAGGCCUAAAGCUUCCUCUAAUGACCUCAAUGAAUUUGGCCAUAAACGCAAUCCAGUAAGAACCGUGGAAGAGAGGAAGGAAGAGUACGACAGAGCAAGAGCUCGUAUUUUCAGCAGUCCUAGUAAUUCUGGAUCAGAAGAGGCAUUGCCUUGGGCUGCUUCAGAUGGGACGAACAUUACUGUUGAUGACAAUGAGGUUUCAAGAGACUUGGGUAUGGAUUGGGAAAAAAGGCACUGCAGCAUGGAAGGUGGCAAUUCUUCAAGAGUAGCAAUUUUUAGAGACAGGGAGAAGGACCGUACUGAUCCUGAUUAUGAUCGCAGUUAUGACA
rnacentral:lncRNA from 1 species